rnacentral:rRNA from 1 species
UGGGGAAUUUUGGACAAUGGGGGGAAACCCUGAUCCAGCCAUCCCGCGUGUGCGAUGAAGGCCUUCGGGUUGUAAAGCACUUUUGGCAGGAAAGAAACGUCGCGGGUUAAUACCCCGCGAAACUGACGGUACCUGCAGAAUAAGCACCGGCUAACUACGUGCCAGCAGCCGCGGUAAUACGUAGGGUGCAAGCGUUAAUCGGAAUUACUGGGCGUAAAGCGUGCGCAGGCGGUUCGGAAAGAAAGAUGUGAAAUCCCAGAGCUUAACUUUGGAACUGCAUUUUUAACUACCGGGCUAGAGUGUGUCAGAGGGAGGUGGAAUUCCGCGUGUAGCAGUGAAAUGCGUAGAUAUGCGGAGGAACACCGAUGGCGAAGGCAGCCUCCUGGGAUAACACUGACGCUCAUGCACGAAAGCGUGGGGGAGCAAACAGGAUUAGAUACCCCUGGUAGUCCACGCCCUAAACGAUGUCAACUAGCUGUUGGGGCCUUCGGGCCUUGGUAGCGCAGCUAACGCGUGAAGUUGACCGCCUGGGGAGUACGGUCGCAAGNUUAAAACUUAAAGGAAUUGACGGGGGUCAUAGCUGUUUCCU